AAUUGCUCCUGAGACCCAACAGGCAGCAACGGUCCCAAGGGUGAGGGAGUGGGCAGGGAGAGGCUGAUGGGGCUUCUACACGUUCCCUCCCGUAGCUGGGCUGCUGCAGCUCGUUCGCCCCAGAGGCGCGCGGUGUCCUUGAGUCCAAGUAUUCAGCGCGGACGUUUGGGGGACGGAGGGAGAGGCGCUAGGGGAACUGGCACCUAAGACUGUGUAAUAGGACACAGGUCUUGCAAGUCCUCCUCCCCAGGCACCGCCCCUGUGCUCCCAGCGCCUCUUUGCAGCUUUAAUUAUCCUUUCAGCGCCGUUCCCCCGCGGCUGCGUUUCCGUGGUCAGAGGAAAAAGGCUCUUUCGCCUCCCGGUUCUCACCCUCAUACAGACCCUCCUUUCAGACCCGCCCUCCUGUUCACAGGGACCCAUUUCGGAGCCCUGGCUCACGCUGGGCGGGAACUGCCGUGACGAAUUCCCCCCAAGGUGUUGAUUAUCCAUCCCAACCCAGCCUCUGGCUUCCCUCCCACCUCCACCCCAGCUCCCACAGGCCCCUCGCCCCGUUCAUCGGCUGGGCGCUCGAGACGGCGCCCCCAGAUCUCCCACCGGGCAGUGUCCCCAGCUGCAGCUGAGGAGAGAAGCGCCGGCGUGCGCGGUGCCACGUCGGAAUUGGCUCUGGGGACGCCGCAGCUGCCGAAGCGCAGCGCGCGGUCCCCACGCACGCCCUGCCUCCGGGCGGCCGGCGGGCUGGCCCGGCGAGGAGAGGAGGGAUGCGCGCCCUCCUCC
rnacentral:lncRNA from 1 species